UUUGAAACCUUGAUAACAUAUAAAUUAUUUGCCUUAAUAAAUAAAUCAUUAGAUAAACAUGAAUGUACUAUAUAUGAAUGUUUAAUGUUGAGGCAACUUUGCCACAGUUUUCAUAAUUACGGUUGCCUUGGUUUUUGGUUAACUGCCUUCAGCGCUUACAGCGCUUUGAUUUGUAAUAGUUGUGCUCUACAUUUAUGUAUACUACAAAGUAAGGUUUCUGCUCAUAUCAUAUGAACAUGUUUAUAGGCUGAACAGUGCAGAAUAAAUACCUGCUUGAUGCUGAGCAUCCACCAAAAAAAAAUACUUGUCAUUUAGACUAAAAAUGGUAAUUGACACUUGUACCAAAAAAUGGAUUACCAUCAAAUGUUUUUAAAUAUUAUUUUGUACCAAAAUUCAUUGGAUCUGAGACAAACUUCUUUAUUUUCUUCCAAACUCGCUGGACUGUGAUAUGCAUGUUUGUUGUUGAUAUUAUGUGGUGCUGUUGAUUUUGAAUCAAAUUUCAUUUGACAAUAAAUUUCAUUUGACAAUUGUAAAUGGUAACAUUCAUUUAUUUCUAUAUGUUAUGUUUAUUUGUAUGCUCAAUUAGCAGCAUUCUGCUAUUAAAAAUGUUAUUGAAUAGUUGAGAUAUUAGGGCUUAAUUUGUUAUUCUUAAGAAAUUUAAACAAUUUUAUCUUUUGAAGAAAGGAAUAUAGACCAAAAAAAAUAUUUAAUAUUUCUGAUGCAAAUAGCACCUGUAAUGACACCUUCCAAUGGAUUUUUUUUUUAUGAAAUUGCCCAGUUUUGGGAAAGCAAAGUAAAACAUAAAACAAUAUUAUUAGCUUUGAAUUUUAUUGGUUAAAACAUAGAUGUAUAAACUGAGUAUAUACAUCUAUGUCUUGUUAAUGCAUAGGUUUUAAAUAAACUUAAAGAGUCUGUUACAAGAUGCAAGACGUCAAAUAAAGAAAGAUUGGAUUUAUAGCCAGUACUAUUUAUAUUGUUGAAUCCAUAUUAAAAUUGAUGUGAUUAAUUAAAUGGAGUUUACUAAUAAUUCUUUAAAAAUAUUAUGUUUUCUCUUGUAUAUUGAAUGGGUGUAACUUCCCAAAAAUUGUAUUGUAUUUUCUCUGUUUUGUUGUACAUAACAGAGGCGGAUUUAGGGGGUUGGGCAUGGGGUCUGGGCCCCCCUUUUGUGGAAAAAAUUUGGUUGAAUAUAUAGGGAUCAGUGAAGCAUGACUGGAGCGGGCCCCCUCUUAGGCAGUCUGUGGACCUCAACUUUUGAAAAUUAUUGGAUCGGCCACUGCAUAAGAAAACAAUAUUCCAGUAGUGUGGAACUGUUGUUUUAAAUGAAUUGAUUUAGCAUUUAAUAAACUUAUAAUCUUCACUUGUUAUAUAGCACUUUUUUAAUUUAUUGCUUUUUUAGUGAAUUGUGAUUUUCUUAGUUUUGCAUUCAUGUAUCAGACUAUCUGAACUUACUAAUACUAAAGAGAAAAGUAGGAUUAUUGGUCAAGGAUAAAACAAAAUGUUUGCAUGUUCUUUCUCUUACUGUAAGCUCAGUCAGUUUGAACUUAACAAGACUGUCAUAUAUUAUCUUGGUGUGUACAACACACAAGCUUAAAGUUAUUGGGUGUUUUUCUCCUCUGACCCCAAAAAAAGUUAGAACAUGAUGAUUGUUUGGUUGCAAUUUAAAUUACAAACAGUUGCUCAAAUACAAUGUAGAAAAAGAUCUAGGAUCAUUUUAUGAUAAUAGAAAAAAAAUACUUUGUACUUAUUUAGUUUUGAUAAAUGAAUUGCACAUAUUGUACUGAUAUUAUAUAUUUAUAUUUAUGUAAAAUUUCAUUGAUAAUGAUUAAAUAAACAAUUAAAAAUUGUGCCUUCUUCUUUCCAUGUUUCUGAAAGAUAUUCCUUUUCAAUAAGUCCUUGAAAAAGGGAAUCAACUUUGCCUUGUGAUUGAUGUACAAGAGAUAUGAAGGUCAUUAGUUUGCAUUUGUUCCCUACCUAUGAAAGUAGAGGGGCAUUAUGUUUAUAUGUGUGUUCUGUCCAC
rnacentral:lncRNA from 1 species